UAGGGAAUUUUCGUCAAUGGGGGCAACCCCUGAACGAGCAAUGCCGCGUGAGCGAAGAAGGUCUUCGGAUUGUAAAGCUCUGUUGGACCGGGGAAAAAGGAAGGAAAGAGGAAAUG
rnacentral:rRNA from 1 species